rnacentral:rRNA from 1 species
UUACCGUGAAAAAAUUAGAGUGUUCAAAGCAGGCAGAUUCAAUUUUCUGCCACCGAAUACAUUAGCAUGGGAUAAUGGAAUAGGACCCUGUCCUCCUUUUUUCAGUUGGUUAAUUCACAAGAGAGGAACAGGGUAAUGAUUAAUAGGGAUAGUUGGGGGCAUUAAUAUUUAAUUGUCAGAGGUGAAAUUCUUGGAUUUAUGAAAGAUUAACUUCUGCGAAAGCAUCUGCCAAGGAUGUUUUCAUUAAUCAAGAACGAAAGUUAGGGGAUCGAAGACGAUCAGAUACCGUCGUAGUCUUAACCAUAAACGAUGCCGACCAGCGAUUAGGAGACGUUGAAUACAAAACACCU